UACAAUUAAUUUUUAUAAUCUCUGACAACUUUUACUCAACAGAAUAAGAAACCUAAAAUAAUGUUAAACAUUAGGUAUAUCAAGUGUGUGUCAAGAGGGUAUUGGCAAGUAUCUUUUUCCUAAUUAUAUUCCACUCUGUCAUAGGUACCAGUAAGUAGUACGGCUUUCUGAAUACCAACUGUUUAUAUACGCAGGCACUUUAUACAACUCUGUAAUUAGAAAAGAAAGUGUUUCAAUUUGCUGCAAAGCAAGAGAGGUUCUGAUAGAAAUGCUGCUUUUUUUCUGAUAACCUUUGAAAUGGUUGAAAGAACAUCAAAUUUGGAUUUAGAACAAUGUGGAACUGAAUACUGGCUGAGUCUCUGACAUUAGGCUGGUUAUUUAACCAUCUUGAACUUCAUCUUCUCUGAUCUCUAAAAUAGGAAUAAUCAUAAUUACACCUACCAUGUAAACGUGCUGUCUCAGGUGAGAGGUAUGGGAUGGGCUUUAAAGUAAUAAAACAUAAAAAUGCAAAACUCGUGUAGGAAAUAAAAUCACCUUAGGUCAUUUAUUAUCUGAAAUUGUCUUCCUGUUUAAAAACCUUCUAAUGGUAUAUUCAACUCUGCAUUCCUUACUGUGUAGCUAACAGGGUUUAACAUGGGAUAACAAGAGUAUAGAAAACUUCUAUGGCCUUAUCCAUGGGAAGAUUAGCUACUGGUCACAGGUAUAUAAAAAUACAGGGUAUGAAGAACAAAACAACAGCUGUGUUGUGGGAGCCACAGGUACAUAGGGCCUUUCUCUUCCAGGGAGAGCUGUGAGUCCUCCAGGAGCACAGGAUGACCACAUAGGGUACCAAUAGCAUUACAAAAGUUAUCAUAGGAAUUACUCCACCAUUGGCAGCAACCAAGAAACCACCAAGGAAUGUGUUAGUGCAGGCAAGUUGUAUCAGGGGGAAAAUGUCACACAUGAAGUGAUCCAUAACAUUGGAGCCACAGAAUGCGAGCCAGAAAGUAACUAGAAUCUGUACAACAUAGUGGAAAAAAACCAGUGCCCAACACACCCCCACCAGGAGGCAGCACAUGCAGUGGCUCAUGAUGGUCACAUAGUGCAGAGGUCAACAGAUGGCGACAUAGUCAUCAUAGGCCAUGAACACAAGAAGGACAAUCUCUGAAGCUCCUAAUAAAUGUUCAAUAAAGAUGUGUGUCAUGCAGCUACGGAAGGAGACAACUUUUGAAUCUGAGAACAAAUCAGCUAGCAAUUUAGGGAUUAUGGAAUAGGAAUAGCAUGCAUCUAUCAAAGACAAGAAGGCCAGGAAGAAAUACAUUGGGAAGUCCAAAGUCUGGCUGCAGAUUAUAGUACCCACAAUGAGCAGGUUGCCCAUGACAGGGACAAUGUAGGUGAUAAAUAAUUCCAAAAAUAGGAUUCUCUGAUUCUAAGGAUUCUGUGUAAGUCCCAUUAGAAUGAAUUCAGUCACAUUCAUCCUAUCUUCUUUCAUUUCAAUAGCAAUAAUGAAUUCAGAAUUGGAGAAUUAACGUGUAAAGACAAUAUUUUCAAUAGCAAGGUGAUGAGAACUUCACAUUUUAGGUUUUCAGAACAAGAAUUCAAGGAUACAAGUAAAGACAAAGUUUAUGGAGUGUGUUCUAUAUCCAAGACAUUAUGCAAGAAAGAGAGACAACUAAGUAACUUUCCCUGACUUCAGGAAGCUUAUAGACCAGUGAACAUAGGCAAUUAAUAAAGAUUUUAAUCUCAUCAAUUGAAAC
rnacentral:lncRNA from 1 species